UACAGAGGUCCCAAGCGUUUGUUCGGAUUCAUUGGGCGUAAAGGGUGCGUAGGUGGCGCCGUAAGUCGGGUGUGAAAUUUCGGAGCUUAACUCCGAAACUGCAUUCGAUACUGCGGUGCUUGAGGACUGGAGAGGAGACUGGAAUUCAUGGUGUAGCAGUGAAAUGCGUAGAGAUCAUGAGGAAGACCAGUGGCGAAGGCGGGUCUCUGGACAGUUCCUGACACUGAGGCACGAAGGCCCAGGGGGAGCAAAACGGGGAUUAGAAAACCCCC
rnacentral:rRNA from 1 species